GUGAAUCAUCAAAUUUUUGAACGCAAACUGCGCUCUCUUCGGAGAGGAUGCCUGUUUGAGGGUGAGCCUAAAAAAAAUCAACAUCGUUACUAUUACGCGGUAACAUUCGUCGGAAGUUGGGUGAUCUUAAACCUUUUGGUGUAAGCGGCUUAAAAUGUUCGUUACGAUUCGAAGAGCGUUUCUAAGAUGUUAUGUUCUUAUAAGUUUAAGGUAUCGAUCUUUAUUAGA
rnacentral:misc_RNA from 1 species